AACAAAUGACUCCAUUAUGGUGUUUCCAAAAAUAUCUUUGCAGGUCAUGAAAAGACCCUUAAAUAGGGUUACACUGAAAUGUGAUGUCUAAGUUACACUUAAACAUUAGUCAUUUUGUUGACUCACCUGAGCUUUGAGGAAUCCAUUCUUUUGGACUGUGGGAAUCAGCUCAUCCGAUGGGUUGGAUAGAAGCUUUCAUCUGGAAGGAGGAAAAAAGGAAGUUCCUAUUCUCAUUGAUGAUAAGGCAGAAAAUACAUGGACUGUGGAAUUAGGAAUGAGAAGGUGAGGAAGAAAGAGCCUGAAUCUCUGGGGCCAAGAGAUUGGGGAACUGGAUUUAGAGGUAUGAAAGUUCUUGAAAAGUUUUGUUAAAGAUAUUGAAAAAAUAUCUUUAAUGAAAAAAAAUAGUAGGAAAAAAGUCUUUAUAAUAUCAAUAAUUGACAAAUGAUUUGCAUCCGAAGUAUAUGAAGAACCUCUACAUAUUAUUAAGAGAAAAACAAUUCAAUAAAAUGGGCAAAAAUAAAGAAAAUUUAAAGCUAAAACAUGAUCCACAAUGAGGAUAUUCAAUACCCAAUAGACAUGAAAAGGUGAUCAACCUCAUAGCUCAUCAGAGUUAAAACCCACAAUGAGUACCAUUACACAUCCCACAUAAAUCCUGGGGCUAGGGGUAGCUCAGUGGCAGAGUACCGAGGCCCUGGAUCACAUUCCUGCAACUACUAUAUGACCCAGCUAUCUCACUCUUUGGUAUUUAUCCAGAAGAACUGAAAUCAGCAUAUUAUAGCCACUUCAGUGUUUACAGUAGCACCAUUCACAAUAGCAAAAAUUAUUGAAUCAUCCCAGAUGUCCAUCAAUAGACAAAUGGAUCAAGAACAUGUGGUAUACAUACACAAUGGAGUUUUACUCAGUCGUG
rnacentral:lncRNA from 1 species